CGUGGAGGCGGUGUGGUGCACGGAGGAGAGAGAAGGAGGUGAGGAGAGGGAUAAGGAGGCCAUUGAAGAAGUGAAGAAGAAGAAAAAAGUGGGCCUUGUUUGGAAGAGGCUCAACCAGUGAAUGUCACACACCACAAUCUACACCCAGGUUUGCUUCUUUGCCCUUUUUUUUAUCACUUUAUUAUCUCUUGUGGUUUUUCCUUAACUUGCCUUUGAUUGCUUUCCACUACACAAAAAGUUAGAUCAUAUGGAUAUUCUCUUUCCAACCUCCCCCAUUCAUUCACCUACCAAUUUCUGCAUUUCUCCCCUUAUCCUUAAAACAAAAACACAUUUCAUUUUAAUAAAACACAAAUACCUCCAUUAAUUGUUUAUAUUUUAUUGUAUUGAAUAAAUAAUAUAUCUGCUUAUAUUUAUACCAUUCUUUAAUUAUAUAUUCUUAUUUAUAUUCAGUUUCUUAAUUUAAUAAUUGUUCAAAAAAAAAUAUUAAUUUAGCACGUGAAAACCUUGUAGGCACAACGAUACUCCCUCCCUCCCAAAUAACUAUUGUUCACGUCUACUUUUCUUUUCUUUAUAAAUUCUUUUAUUUGAUCUCGAUUCCUUUCUUUUACUGUCUAUAAAUUUGAAAAGAUAAUUCUAUUUAAAAAAAUUAAAUUUAGUUUCAUUUAAUCUCACAUCUUAUGUGGGUAUGUUACACAAGUUUAGCAUUAUUACAUAAUCUUCUUAUUGGGAAAUCGCUGUCGAGAAUGAUGAAGGGGAAUUGGAGAAGAAUCGAUUGCUUGUUUUAUGCUAUUGAGAGCCACGAGCCAGUGACCAUUGGUUUACCCUAGACAAAAUGUUUGGGCAACGAGCAGAGUUGAUCCUGGAAGCGUGGUUGACGAAGAGUGACUGUAAAUGCAAAAUUGUAAUUAAUUUGAGAAUGUAGAUAAAAAUGAGACUAGGUACAAGGAGAGGAGGAAUAACAUUACUCGUUAUAAGGGAAAAAGGAUGGUGUUAUCAAGGGAAAACAACAAUUUGACUGAACAUCACUGUUUUUUAUUAAACUAUAUAUUCUAAUAUAUAAAAUUGUAAUUAAUUUGAUAAUGUAGAUAAAAAUGAGAAUAGGUACAAGGAGAGGAGGAAUAGCAUUACUCGUUACAAGGGGAAAAGGAUGGUGUGAUCAAGGGAAAACAACAAUUCGACUAAAGAUAACUGUUUUUUACUAAAUUAAAUAUUUUAAUUAGAAGACAUCUUUUUUGCUAGAACAAAUAUGAACUCCAGCUUCUUGAUGAAAAGCUCUAAAGUUGAAAAAGUAUAAAAGGUACUAAGUAUUGGGUGAACAAUUCCUUAUAUAUGACUAUCUAUUUAUAUGUUUUUUUACUUCCAAUAAUAAAACUAAACAAUUGAAGUAUAUUUAAUUUAUUAAUAAUAAUGGUCAGGAAAAGUUUACAACGUGCUGCUAGAUUUUUGGAGAAAAUGUUGGCUUUCGAUGAUAAUUGUUUUUCGAUGGUAGGCCACUUCCACUUUUGAGAAGGCGGGACAUUCAUGGUUUUUGAAGUGAAAGGAUGAAAAUGUGAGAUUGGUUAUCACACAUUACUCAUCCCCUUUAUCAUACAUUAGUCAUUCUCUUUUCUUGGUAUUAAGAAAUAGACUUUAAACAUAAUUUAACUUUACAAAACUUGAAAUAGAC
rnacentral:lncRNA from 1 species